UAACUAAUUGUUAAGCUAUGAAAUGUUUUUCAAUUUGCACCUCGGUCCCUCAUAAUCAGCGGCAUAACAAAUAAAGUAUAAAUGCAAACAAACAAAAAGAACGUAUAUAUACGUAAAUGUGUACGUAUUUGGUAAAUAUACGCUAUAUCAGCACGUAUAGCAUCAAAUAUUAUCUGAGAAAGUAAAAAAAAAGAAACGAAAAAUCGCGCUAUAUAUGCUUUAGUACGUACGUUUGUACAUAUGUACAUAUAUACUAAAUUAUUGCUGAUUUCUGACGACAUUUGUUCGGGACGUGUAGUGUUUUUGUUGUUCAUCUCUUCCAUUAGUCUAUUUUUGUCUGUGCAUAAUAUAGAAAUUGUUUUAACAAAUAUGUACAAACGUACAUACAUACAUAUGUGCAUAAGUACGUAAGCCAGCUACCAUUGAAGGGGUUUUGCUGAUUUUAUGGCAAAAUUGUAAAUUUAUAUGUAUAUCAGCUCGGUAUUGGUAAAAAAUCUUUUAGCUUAUCACUAAUCACGCACUACAUUGUCAGCCGAAAAUGUACUGAAGCAGUUGCAUCCAAAUGCGCCGCAAUUUGUCCAGCAAGUCCUCAACAUAGCAUAUUUUUGCUAUACAAUACAGCUGGUACAUAGUGCUAUACAGUUGUAUGUGCCUCGCAAAAUAAAUUGUUUGAUAUUCUUUUUAUAAAAUUUCAAUUCAAUUACCUUUCCCCCUUUUUUUAAAUGCCGUAUAUGCAGGAAAAAGUCGUUGUGCGGUAACAGCACCAAACUGUGGCAAUAGCGGCGUUAGUAUGGAGAAUUCACAGCAGUAGCAACUAUAAAAUUGUUUAAACUCAAAGCAAAGUACAAAUAAACACGACUAAAAUGAAAAAAUUAUGAAAAUUAAACAACUGCAACAACUUCUACUAUGAGCGCUCCACUUUUUCGGCUGCUAACAAGAAUCACACUCGCUUUUAAUUCUUUCUCCACUUUUGCUCCACCACCAUUGACAUCGGCGAAAUAAAGUGACAGCUGUUUGGCGUUGCCAACAACUUGUAUUAGAUGCUCCAACAACUGUGACAGCUGAGUGCAAAAUGAAAUCCACUUGCUGUGCUGCCAAUUAUGAUAACUCAUUUAAAUUGUAUUUUUAUAUAAAAUUAAUUCGAAAAAAUAUUUGUAUGUGCAUUUUACAAUAAAUUAAAUGUAAAGAAUAUCUGCAUUCAAUUAUUGUGAUUAAAGCGAGAUAAUUUCAAGAAAGCUUAGGAUAUUUCAAUGAGUUUAUUAUUUAUGACAGUUGAUUCCGGACUACAGCGCGCCUUUGCGAAAGAUUUAUAAAAGUUAUUUGACCAAGUCCAAGGACUCAAACGGAGCUGCGAUUAUUACGAUAAAUAGAGCCAAUGGUUUAAUCUACAUAACCAAGACGUACAACAAAUUAUAACCGGCUAAUAAACGCUACUAAUAAUUUUCAUAGUGAGAGGUGUACCAAAGAACGCAGAUUUUGCAAAUACAUAGGACAUGGCAUGCAAACCUUUAUAAACCAAUGUUUCAUUCGUUUCAUUUCAAUUCAGUUUUAUUCAGCAGCAAUGGCACGUAAAGUAUAAAUAAAUGUUUAUGUACAUAUGUAUUCAUGUAUAAUUUUGCAUUUUACAGUGAAAUUAAUUAAACAUAUAAUUGUAUUUUAUUAGAAAUAUAAGAAAACAAGAACAAUGUUUACCAACUAAGCGUUACAAACUUUCCAACGAACUUUCAUUGCAUGUAUCUACAUACGUACAUUUUGAUUUAUACAUAAGUACUUAUAUAUUUUUAUUUUUAGUAUACGUAUAUUUGUAUUCAAGUUAUUUGAUAAUAAUCACGUUACCUUAGACCUAAAUAUAAUUGUAAUACUUUCAUAUCUUUCUAAAGUUGGACUAUAAUUAAUCAGUUCCUAAGCGGUAUUUACAAAAUUGUAUGUAUGUAUGUAUGUAAGUCUUUUCUUGACGCUUUACUAUAAAAAAUAGGAAUUUAAAUUAUAUAAAAAAUACUUAAAUAAGCAACUUUUUUAAAGUACUUAUUUCACAUUUGUACGCUACUUAUACAUUAUGCAUUGAGUAGCGGUAGCCUGCCACUGCGCUUAUGUGUAGUUAAAUUUUGUAAUAUAAUUUAGUUGCUUAAAAUAAACACGAAACCACAACGACACAUUAAUAUGUGCUUAAUCUCAUAAUUAACUUUAUACACCAAAUAACCACCACACACACA